UUAAGUUAUUAAGGGCGCACGGUGGAUGCCUUGGCACUAGAAGCCGAUGAAGGACGUUACUAACGACGAUAUGCUUUGGGGAGCUGUAAGUAAGCUUUGAUCCAGAGAUUUCCGAAUGGGGAAACCCAGCAUGAGUUAUGUCAUGUUAUCGAUAUGUGAAUACAUAGCAUAUCAGAAGGCACACCCGGAGAACUGAAACAUCUUAGUACCCGGAGGAAGAGAAAGAAAAUUCGAUUCCCUUAGUAGCGGCGAGCGAAACGGGAAGAGCCCAAACCAACAAGCUUGCUUGUUGGGGUUGUAGGACACUCUAUACGGAGUUACAAAGGACGACAUUAGACGAAUCAUCUGGAAAGAUGAAUCAAAGAAGGUAAUAAUC
rnacentral:rRNA from 1 species